rnacentral:lncRNA from 1 species
GUUUUAAACCCUAAACUGAACUUUUUCCAUUCAGUCAGCAUUAGGGUUUUAAACCCUAAACUGAACUUUUUCCAUUCAGUCAGCAUUAGGGUUUUAAAACCCUAAACUGAACUUUUUCCAUUCAGUCAGCAUUAGGGUUUUAAACCCUAAACUGAACUUUUUCCUUUAAACAGCAUUAGGGUUUUAAACCAUAAACUGAACUUUUUCCUUUAGUCAGCAUUAGGGUUUCAAUCCUAAACUGAACUUUUCCCCAGUUGGU